AAGGAUCAUUAACAUCCUGAAAGGGCGUGUUUUCCGAGGUGUUGGGGUGUUCCCCAUCCCCAAGGUCUCAUGCCCGGCCAUUGAGAGAUGGUUCGCCCUUGCUUAUCAAAGUACUGCCACGUUUCCUCGGCGAGCUCGCUCGCCAAUGGGGACCCAAACCAAACUCUUUGCAGUAGCAAUUCUAGUCUGAUACAAAAACAAACCAAUCAAAACUUUCAACAACGGAUCUCUUGGUUCUG
rnacentral:misc_RNA from 1 species